AUGCGAUUUGCAUUCGGCUCUGGGCGGAAAAAUCACGACGGGAAAAGCCCAGCCCCUUGUCAUGCAGACGGGAAGCUCGGGCGCACGUGUCAGGGCCCUUACGCCCCGCUUCGCUGGCACCAACACCUGGAUCGGGGCCUCCUUGUCCUGUGGGGGCAAGAACACAGGCCCGAGCCCCGGCGACCCCGCAGGCCUCCCACCCUCCGUGCGCAGCCCGCACUUCUCCGCACCCCAGCACUGCGCCUGGCGGGACCACCUGGGUCAUUUUUCCAUUCUGAUAACGUCCCAGUACUUCGUGGCUGCAAGCUCCUCAAGCUGGAGUACCCAAGCCCCAGGUCUGUGCAGGCACGAGGCAAAGCAGCAGAAUAUCCGUGCUACAUCUUUCUGGGGCACCCAUUUUACUACCAGGUUUGGAAGGAAUGAAGUUAAGUAAUUUCCAAGAAUCGUCUCCCCUGCUCCGCAAACAUGAAAGAAAAGAUGAGAGAAGCACCCCAGAAGAGGAAGGGAGAAAUGCCCCAGAAAAAAAAAUCAUCCAGUCUCCGAAGCUUCGCCCAGGUGGGCACAUGACAGCCAGUCUCUCCUCUGGCUGCCUGGCAGGCUGCAGGCUGUCACUGAACCUUCGGCCCAGCAUGCUUUUGAGUGCGCAGAAAUGCUGCACGCCCUCUUCUUUGAAAACCUGUUGAGCAAAUGCCUGCAGUUUAUGUACCUUCAACCUCCACUGCCAAAGCCUUCCGAGACCAAGCGUGCUGCGCACACGGCAGCUCUUUGUGUCCUGCUCCUGAGAAUCGCCUGCAUCAUCUUGUUGAGCUCCAUUGAACUCCACGGUCUGCGUGCUCUGUGGAACUCAAGGUCUUCAUUUCUCAUGGAAUUCAGGAUCAUUUUACGCCAUGGAACUCAAGGCCUUCAUUUUCUGUGGAACUCAGUCUUCUUGCUCUGUGGAACUCGGGGUCCUUUUUCUCCAUGGAACUUAGGGUCUUCUUGCUCCAUGGAACUCAGGGUCUGCAUGCUCCCUGGAAAGCACUGGGACACACUUGACCCCCCAUACCCACACAUACAUCCUUCGUUUUAUUCCUGCCCCUCACCUGUCCAUCCUAUGAGGUUUCUCCACUUCCACUCUGCUUUGAACCCAUGCCAGGUCUUUUGGGCUGGCCCGAAACAUGAGAGUUAGUCGGAGGGAGAGGCUGAGGUCACUCCUUAAGGCAAAUUCUGCUGGUGUCGCACCUGAUAGAGCUGCCUGGGGAGGACGUUUCCUUGGAGUUCAUGCCUGGGUGGCCACUGGCUUCUUAUGGUGCCAGCACUGCUGCUGGUGCCAUCAGGGAGCCACAGGGCCACAUGGAGACUGUGCUGGAAUUGGUGGGUCUCAUCUCUAGGUCAGGCGGGACUGGCAGGCACAUUGACUGUCCUCAUGGCCUCUCCCCUGACCCUGGUCCUCCCCAGGAUGCUGAUUUUCUGCACUGCUGCUCUUCCAGGAGGAAUUAAAAGGUGGGGAUGGCUAAACCCUCUGCUGUAGAUUAGCAGAGACCUUAGGCCAUGUCUUGCAAAAUGGGGAAGGACUGCAGAUGGUGGUGGGAUCGGCCGAAGGCUGGGGCUUCACGGUGAUGUUGAAGCCCUCCGCCCUUGGCAUGUUUGUAGAGCAGGUUCAGUUAGGUGGCCCGUCACCAACUCCUGGAUCUGGUCUCACUCGCAAGGCAUGGACACCAUGAGCUCAGUUUGCCAGGACUCUUGGAGUUAGGGAGAGCUCAGCGACAGGGUGGCUCUGAUUCCUUCUCAUGCUGAGACUCUGCUGGUGCUCCUCCAGGGAGCCCUGGGGUUUUUUCUUAGAUGCCUCUCUCACUGGAGUUGAGAAUUGGAAGUGUUUUCAGUGGGUUUGCACCCUCCACAUAUGUAAAAGGUGUUAGGUUUUCUUCCUUUCAGUAUCCAUUGCUGCAGCUUCCUGAAGUUGUAUCCAUUAAAAGGCAGGGACCCAGUGCCCAGGCUACAGAGGGUGACUUCAGGCUCCACACCACCACUGUGGGCCAGAGUGCCAGUGGCCUUAGAAUUCCCAGAUAGCACAAGGAGGCUGCCCCAGAGGGUGUUCAGCUUGUUGCCAACAAUUACUGAAUGCAGAUUCUGCAAGCUUGAUGUUCAGGUCAGCAGCCAAAAACAGGUGUUCUGUUUUUAGGUCCCUGUGGACAAGGCCCUUCUGGUCCUCCCCAGGCUACUGAUGUCUUGUGUUGCUUCUCUUAUGGUAGAAGCUAAAGAGGGAAUGGCUGGAGCUCAGCUGACUCCGGUUAGAGCCUGGGCUCUGUAUUGCAGACGUGACCCAGCAGAAUUCCUCAUGGGCCCCUUAUGUCAUGGGUACAGCUGCUGGAGCCAGGGUUGUCGCAAGCAGUAAAGGUAUUUACCAAGACAGUUGUGAGUAAAGAAAGGCAAAUGUAUUACAGAAAGUAUGAAAAUACAUUGCGAGAAUGCCACAAGCAGCACAGCACAGAAGGGGCUGUCUGCAAAGAUGCGAGGCUGGAGGGAAGUUUUCUAAGGUUGCGCUUCUCGGGCCUAUGUGCAGGUCAGCUUGUGUAUAUGCUAAGAACAUGUUGGAAUAAUUUUAACUGCCAGAUCUUUGCUAUCCUGGUGCCCGAGGGAAACCCUCUCCUGCUGUCAGCUGUCUUGUAACCCUCAUGCCUUUCAUUUCUGGAGUUGCGAUAUAGCGGCUGUGAUUUUUCACACAAAAGGGUUGCAGACUGGGUUAGGUCCCUGUUUCACUAGCCUGGCUCUUUCCCACUUCCUGUUAAUUUACUAAUCUAUUAGAGCCCCACACAUUUCUCUUUCAUAUGGCCAUGAUCCAGAAGGCAACGCAUCACCUCUCCUCAGCUACAGUGCUCCGUGCCCAGGCAGUAUCUCCUGGGUCUGGAGCACCUCAGUUUCACUGUCAGGGCCUUCACCAUACAGACUUGGCAGCAUAGUCUAGAGGCUGGAGGGACUCUGUGACUCUUGCUAAUGGCAGCCGCAGCCACCGUUUCCCCAAGCAGGAUGUGCUGGAAGAACUGCAUCUUGGCUUAACAGAAUUUUAUUACUGGUAGCUCAAAAAAGGAGGGAACAGAGCUUCUCUAGAUGAUUUCAGGGAACAAGCUACUAUUGGAAUGUUAAUUUAAGACUUUUAUCAAUUAAAAAUGUAAGAACCAAGAAUAUUCAGUUAGGAAGAAUGAAUAUAUUGAAUAAAUACUGUUAAACUUUAUGCUACUUUUCAACAAAUAUUUUCUGAUCAUCUCUGUGAGUCAGGCACUGUGGUAGAUAUCGUAACAUAGAAACAUAGCGUCCAUCAAAUACGGUGUGGGUACUGUAUUUCAAAUUUAAAAAUACAAUAAAGGUGCUGUAUAAGAAACAUGUCAGUGUCCUGGAGGCAGGGUCCAGAGACAUCUCCUGUGGAUAACAGGCUGAGUUUUAAGGGAUGAGCCUGGGUGAUGAGAUGGAUGGGAGAGAGCACCUAGGAAAAGUGUCUUCAGGCAACCAUGGUUCAGUGCCCUGCAGCCCUUGUGGCAGGAGAGUGAGGAGCACGGUCCUUCUGGUGAUUUCUGUGGUUAUGUUCUGUAAACUCGCCUCGAGUCCUGAAGUAUUGAUUCUGGAGAAUCACAGGGUAAGGUUCCCAGAAGCCUCUGGUCAUAAUGUUUUCAAGAGCCAAGGCACCAUUCAUGUACCAUGGGUUCAUUUUCCAACAUCCUUGUAAAAAAGCCAGUUCUCUCAGUGUUGAAAACUGCCCUUCCACAUACCCUUUUCCUGUAGAGCACUUUCUGAUCUACAGAGCUGCCGCUCUUGAAAAGCUCCCAUUUUCCAUGCCAUGGCGCCUCUCAAAAGGUGCCAGCCAGGCAGCACUAGCCGAGGAGUGGUUUUGGCUCUCCUCACAGCAGUGCUGCUCACAGUGCUUUCAUUGGUCGUCAUCUCAUGAAGUCUCAAAUGUGGCCGCUUCUCCACCUUUUCCACGGUUUCAUCACACGCUGUGGGUGUUGGUUUUGCACUUUCCCGAGCAGCCUUGUGUACAGGUUGGUGAAGCUCCUCUUCCUCUUUCUGGAUGCCCUGUAGUGUUUAUCAUUAGCAUUGAACUCACAGCUGGCCACACGAGAACCUACACCGAACCAAGCUUGGCUAACAAGUGUUUUCUCUGUAAGGCACACCACAGCCUUCUUGCUUAUAAGGACACUAGACAACGCUUCAGUGUUAUGUCUGGAGGCCGUUUCAAGCUGUGAAAUCAACAACAAGCUCAAAAAUGCAAAAGAAGUGUCACUAUAUAGACCAUGAGAAGACUAGUUUGCAGGUUGAGAGUGGGAAAAAGGAGGCAGUGUGGGGCCCUGCAUGGCUCAGAUUGUUGCCCUGCUCUGCACAUGUUUUCCUUUGACUGUGAAAGCAACACGAGUACUGCUUGGGGGACUAAAAAUACACUUUAACAAGCAGACAAGUUCACAAAUACGAAAUAGUGGCUAGCGAGGGACCACCCCCACGCUGGCGCUGCAGAUGAGGCUGUUGCAGGUAUGAGGCUUGCUUCUAUCCCGGGAGCUUCUGGUUGCCACCGCUGCCUUUGUACACCAAGGAGUGGUGUCACCUGUACUGUAGCAAAAGCACCUUUUCUCAAUGUAAAGCAUGGCUUGCAGAGAGGAAGACAGAGACUGGCUAGAACAUGGCUGUGUUGGGGUGAAGCAAGGAGGAGGGUGGAUAGACUAAGCCAGGUCAGAGGACCGAGGAGCCAACCUGAGAGCCCCGUGCACCUGUGAGUCCCGGCGAGGGAAUGUUGGUCAUGGAUACUGUUAAGGAGGAAGCAUCCAGGACAGCUCACAGGUCCCUGGCUGAGGAGCACGGGGGAGGGAUGGCAGGGCUCGGGAAUCCAGCCUUCAAGUCAGACACACCUGAGUUCAAGUAAAGACUGACUGGCUGUGUAGCCUUAGACGUGUUCCUUCACUUCCCUAAGCUUCUGUUUUCUCAUUUCCAGUACAUAGAUUCCUAUGCCAAAUGAAUAUUAAAUCAGUCAGUGAUUUUGAGGUUAAAAUGAGUGCUGGUACUUUUUAUCUAAAUAAAGAAAAUGGGAAAAGAGGCAGCAUUUGAGGUGGGAGGGAGAGGAGUCUAGGCAUGGGUAGUUGGACGUGCCCAUGGACACUCAUGGAAGAAUGUCCAGCAGCCAUCUGGUGUGCUUCCAGGAUGCCAGGGUAGGGACAUGGGAUGGCAGCAUACAGACCUGGAAGUUACAGCCAGGCAGGCGGCUGCUGCAGCUGCGAAGAGCAGGCAGUGCAGGAUCAGAGGGCUGGGGGUAAAGCCUGGGGAAUGCCCACAUUUAGGAAGAGACCAGGAAGGAGAUCAAAAAAGCAACAGGAAAAGCAGGAGGGUGUGAAGGGAUGGGAGGUGCAGGAGGAGGGUUUCCAGGAGGGAGUGGCAGGGGUCGGUGUUCUACAGACAAGGACUGGAAGUCAGCACUUUUGAACUGUAGGGACCUAAGAGAUCCUUUAGUCUAAUCCCCUUAUCUAUCCUGAGGAAGAAAUCAAGAUUCCAAGGUGAUGUGGGUUGCUUGCUAUAGAUCACAAUGUGAUUUCACAGUGGGAUACCUCGAUUUCUAAAGAGUAAUAAAAUAUUUAAUAAGUAUUCUAGGAUUGGAAUUGCUCCUAUUCAGUCACACUGGAUAUUUUCCCAAUUUGGUGAAACUGAGAUUUUCACAACUGUUAACCAUUCCAUGUACUAAGAUGCCUCUUAAACCUGUUUUUAUCAUAUAUUUCACAAAUUUUGCUAUAAAAAUAAGGUUAAAAACAACCUCGUCAAACUGCAUUUUAAUUUUAGUAAAUACAAAUUAUGCUGAAAGAGGAGGGUUUGAUGGCCCCCCUCACAGGAUGUGUGACAAGGGUGUGGCUCAUGUGUUCGGUCACCACCACCUAUUCAAACCCCUUACAGAAGGGGGAUCGUGCAGAUGGACAGGUGCAGGAGCACAAGUGGGUGUGUGUUACAGUGUGCUCUUUUAGCCUUGCCAUCUGUGGAUGGCUUGAGUGUUAACCAACUCAGUGGACCCUCAGACUUUCUGCAAAGGCAGAAGGCCAUUGUGACAGCUUUCUAUAUCCCAAGCCCUUGUCCGCAUCCUGGAAGAAUCAAGUCACACACGGACUUGAAGGAUGAAUGCAGGGGUUUCACUGAGGGGUUAGAAGUGGCUCUCAGCAAGAUGGAUGGGGAGCUGGAAGUGGGGAUGGAGUGGGAAGGUAAUCUUCCCUGGAGCUGAACGGAAGAACCACCCCCAGCUGAACUCGUCUCGGCUUUCAGAUGUUCCUCAUCUUCUCACUUUUUCUCCCAUGCUGUUCUGUUGUUUAUCUGCUUGUCUCUUCAUCUCCUCAUCUGCUCCUGGAACCUGCAGUCUGGGGUUGAUAUGGUUACAGAAUAUGGGAGCGUGGUGGGCCAAAAGGCACGUUUUAGGUAUGAAAACAGAAAUGCCUGUUCCCAUUGAGGGCCACAGGUUUUCAGGCUUCAGGGUGGGCCUCUGCUGGGGAGCCACCCUCUUAUACGCAGUAUUUCCCUGUCUCCUUUCCAUAUUAACACCUCCAUAAAAUUCAGUUUGAAAAAACAGCACAAGUUAAAAGUUUGGCUAUUUAAACUAAAAAGUAAUUAUUUGCUAAAUUAUUUUGUAUACAAAGACCCAAGGAUUAGAAAUACUUUAAUAUUUGGAGCUUGACUCUCCUUUGAAGGCACCAUUCAUUCCUGAGCCAUCUUGGUUUCCCUCAUGAGGCAGCAGGAGUGCCACCGAAUGAGCACGGGCAAAAUCGCUGGAUACAGUUAGUCAGUACAUUCUAUUUUCUGAAAAAUACCACCUAACUACUUGUAUAGAUAUAGAAUUGCAUUUUCAAGCCAAGUUGGAAUUACAAAUUGUAGCCCAUUUGAAAAUGUAUAAAUGUGUGACAUACACACCCAGAGGAAAAGAAGUCACAAUUAUGAAAGAACAAAGUGGGAAAAUAACUCUUUCAUGUAAGAUUAAACAUUUUGGUUGCUUACUGAAAUAAAAAUACCUGUGACUGAU